CAUCAUCAAUGUGAGUGCUGCGGACUGUGUGCUCUGCGACUAGAGCUCCGCGCCGCUUGGGGGCAAUGAAAUCACGGAAGCUGCCAAAAGGCUUCGUGCUUUGUGGCCUCAACUGUUUAACAUUCGUCUACUUCCCGCUCGUCCUGCCCAUCCUGCGAUGCUCGGCCGGAGCAGCGCCGGCGGCCAGCGGUGGCUCAAAAACCGGCGACGACUUCGACUACCGGAUGCAGCGGGUGCGGAAUGUCCUCAAGGAGGUGCCGCUGAUCGACGGGCACAACGAUCUGCCCUGGAACAUACGCAAGUUCCUGAAGAACCAGCUCAAGGAUUUCCACUUUGGGGGCGAUUUACGGGAACUGGCACCGUGGUCGUCGAGUGCCUGGAGCCACACGGAUCUGCGCCGACUGAAAGAGGGCAUGGUAUCGGCCCAGUUCUGGUCCGCCUACGCUCCGUGCUCGUCCCAGCACCUGGAUGCCGUGCAACUGACCCUGGAGCAGAUCGAUCUGAUCCGGCGACUUGUCCAGCUCUAUCCGCACCACAUGGCCCUAGUGACAACUGCCUCGGGUAUCGAGCAGACACACCGGAUCGGGAAGAUUGCCAGUUUGAUUGGGGUGGAAGGUGGCCAUGCCAUCGGCACCAGUCUCAGUGUCCUGCGAAUGUUCUACCAACUGGGUGCCAGAUACCUAACUCUCACCCACACCUGCAAUACACCAUGGGCGGACUGCUGCAAAGUUGACGAACCGGGAAAGUAUCCGCAUAUAGGCGGCCUCUCCCAAUUCGGAAAGCUGGUAGUCAAGGAGAUGAACCGGCUGGGUAUGAUUGUUGAUCUGUCACAUGUUUCGGUACCAACCAUGCUGGACGCCCUGGCCGCCUCGCGGGCUCCCCUCAUAUUCUCGCACUCCUCGGCACACGCCAUCUGCAACAGCAGCCGCAACGUUCCCGAUCAUGUCCUGCAACGCAUUGCAAUAAACGGCGGUCUGGUGAUGGUUGCCUUUUACCCGCAUUUCGUCAGCUGCUCCGGACAGGCAACAUUGCACGAUGUCGUGGCGCAUAUCAACCACAUAAGGGAGGUGGCUGGCAUCGAUCAUGUUGGCAUUGGAGCUGGCUACGACGGAGUCAACUUAGUGCCCAAAGGACUGGAGGAUGUGUCCAAAUAUCCGCAUCUUUUUGCUGCCCUGCUCGAGUCUGAUAAAUGGUCGGAGGAGGAUAUUGCCAAGUUGGCUGGCAAGAAUCUAAUACGUGUAUUCAAGGAAGUCGAAGCGGUACGAGAUCAGAUGGAGCUGCUGCGAGUGCCACCCAUUGAUCAGUCAAUUCCAGCCGAAGACAUUAUGGGCAGAUCCUAUUGUCGUUAUCAAGGACCAAGAACGUGAUAAUUUCUUCAUAUGUAAACUUCAUCCCGAUGUCCCCCCAGCGCACUUGCACAUACAUAUAUAUCUACGUAUGCCAACAGUUUCAUUCAACGGAGUCCCGUGGCGAGAAUGGGAAAAAAUUAUGUCAAGCAUCUAGCUCUAAGUCGGCAGAAAGAAAGGACAAGCUGAAGAAAAAAGUAGCAUAAAGCCAUAGCACACAAAAGGCGGAAAAAGUAAACCCCAUAAUAGCGAGAGUAAAGCACAUUUAGCCUCAAAUUAAUAAACCGAAUGCGAAAUGAAAAAUGGAUUCAAGAAACGGUAACAAAAAACCCACGGAU
rnacentral:misc_RNA from 1 species